ensembl:snRNA U6 U6 spliceosomal RNA
GUGCUCGCUUUAGCAGCACAUAUACUAAAAUUGGAAGAAUACAGAGAAGAUUAGCUUGGCCUGUACGCAAGGAUGACAUGCAAAUUUGUGAAGUGUUCCAUAUUUUU